AUGCAGCCGCGCGGUGGCGGUGGCGGUGACCGGGCGGCCGUGAGGAAGGGGCCGUGGACGGCGGAGGAGGACGAGGUGCUGCACCAGCACGUCCGCGAGCACGGCCCCCGCGAAUGGAGCUCCAUUCGAUCCAAAGGCCUCCUCCCCCGCACCGGCAAGUCCUGCCGCCUCCGCUGGGUCAACAAGCUCCGCCCCGACCUCAAGACGGGUUGCAAGUUCUCGUCGGAGGAGGAGCGGGUGGUGAUCGACCUGCAGGCGCACUUCGGGAACAAGUGGGCGAGGAUCGCGACGUACCUGCCCGGCAGGACGGACAACGACGCCAAAAACUUCUGGAGCACGCGGCAGAAGCGCCUCGCCAGGAUCCUAAGGGCGCCGCUGCCCCGCAGGAGGUCAGCCUCAGCCGCCGCCAAGCACAGCGGCGGCGGCGGCGGCGGCGUAGGCGCGGCUUCAUCUUCUGCGGCGUCCAACUCUCAUGAGGCGGCAGCGGCACGCGCUUCCGAGCUCCCAAGGCCACUGUCAUGGCCGAGGACAACUGCCACACCCACAGCAUCUCGUGGCUCGUCAAGGCCUGCAUCCCCGUCGACCCUGACCGCCACAUCUCUGUCCCCGUCGCAGUCCCCAUCUCCGCCGCGUGCCCCGAGUCUCCCUCCCGUCGCUCCCCGCCGUCUGCCGCUGCUUCGCCGACUUCUUCGCGACCUGGACCUGUUGUUGCUCUGGCCGGAACUGCAGCAGCGCCUGGGCAAAGGUGCCGCCGUGGUCGGAGACAGAGACGGCGAGCAGGGAGGGUGGAGCUGGCAGCGCGCGCGACAGAGCUGGAGGAAGGCUUGGGCAGCCGGCCCUCUGGCACCCGCGGCAGCUGUUGCUCCUGUGGGGAAGCCGGCCCUCCGGUGCCCAUGGCACGUCGGCCUCCGGAGAGGACAGACGAGGAGGGAGGGGCUUGAUUGCUUUUAA
rnacentral:rRNA from 1 species